rnacentral:rRNA from 1 species
AACGAACGCUGGCGGCGUGGGUUAGGCAUGCAAGUCGAACGAGAAUCUGAGAGUCCAAGUUUUCGGACAAGGACUUUUGGAGGAAAGUGGCGGAAGGGUGAGUACAACAUGGAUAAUCUACCUUCAAGUUGGGUAUAGCUUUCCGAAAGGAGAGAUAAUCCCGGAUGUGGUGAUCCGGCGCAUGCCGGAGACUCCAAAGGUGGGGACCGCAAGGCCUGCCGCUUGAAGAUGAGUCCGUGCACUAUCAGCUAGUUGGUGAGGUAAUGGCUCACCAAGGCUAUGACGGUUAGCUGGUCUGAGAGGAUGGUCAGCCACACUGGGACUGAGAUACUGCCCAGACUCCUACGGGAGGCUGCAGUCGAGAAUCAUUCGCAAUGGGCGAAAGCCUGACGGUGCGACGUCGCGUGGAGGAUGACGGUCUUCGGAUUGUAAACUCCUGUCAUGUGGGAUAAAUAGCCCGGGUGUGAAUAGCACUUGGGACUGAUAGUACCACAGGAGGAAGAGACGGCUAACUCUGUGCCAGCAGCCGCGGUAAUUCAGAGGUCUCGAGCGUUGUUCGGAUUUACUGGGCGUAAAGGGAGCGUAGGCGGACGGGUGUGUCGAAUGUGAAAGCCCACAACUCAACUGUGGAAUGGCAUUCGAAACUANNUGGCUAGAGUACUGGAGAGGAGAGCGGAAUUCUUGGUGUAGCGGUGAAAUGCGUAGAUAUCAAGAGGAACACCGGUGGCGAAGGCGGCUCUCUGGACAGAUACUGACGCUGAGGCUCUAAAGCUAGGGGAGCAAACAGGAUUAGAUACCCUGGUAGUCCUAACUGUGAACAGUGUACACUUGGUGUGCGAGGAAUUGUCCCUUUGCGCGCCGUAGCUAACGCGUUAAGUGUACCGCCUGGGGAGUACGGUCGCAAGGUUGAAACUCAAAGGAAUUGACGGGGGCCCGCACAAGCGGUGGAGCAUGUGGUUUAAUUCGACGCAACGCGAAAAACCUUACCUGGGUUUGACAUGCCGGGAAUCCUGAUGAAAGUUAGGAGUGCCCUUCGGGGAACCCGGACACAGGUGCUGCAUGGCUGUCGUCAGCUCGUGCCGUGAGGUGUUAGGUUAAGUCCUGCAACGAGCGCAACCCUCACCCUUAGUUGCCAUCAUUAAGUUGGGCACUCUAAGGGAACUGCCGCAGUUAAUGUGGAGGAAGGUGGGGAUGAUGUCAAGUCCUCAUGGCCCUUAUGUUUAGGGUUACACACGUGCUACAAUGGGCGGAACAAAGGGUCGCGAACCCGUGAGGGGGAGCUAAUCCCACAAAUCCGUUCUUAGUUCGGAUUGGAGUCUGAAACUCGACUCCAUGAAGUUGGAAUCGCUAGUAAUCGCGGAUCAGCACGCCGCGGUGAAUACGUUCCCGGGCCU